rnacentral:lncRNA from 1 species
ACAGAAACUUAUCUCGCCAUGGCCAAUCGCCCAGCCAAGUUGUUGGCCAAGUUCCCAGAUAAAAUCGUCCGUCAUUGAGUGCGUGAAUGGAUGACUUGGCCCACCACCAACCCAUCCGUCGAUAGAGUUCCCCCCACCUGUCUGCGCUGAUUGAAUGACUGAAUUGGUGAGUGAGGGGGGGCAAGGAAGGUGAACUUGUGGUAGCUCCCAUAUAGUCUGAUUAUCCGCCAGCUAAUCCGAUGGACCCGUGCCCGUUCCGAGUGGGAGAUAGUUUUAUGAGCGGAAGACACCUCAGCCCCUGCGGCAGUAUCGCAGUCGUAAAAUCUUAAUAUAUGAAAUUAAGCUGUCAUAAAUUUGCUUUAAUGCGCUUUAACUUAAUUGCCAGCAAAAGAAAAUUGCAAUGAAAAUGAAAUUCCUUUAACUCUUGACUACUACGGCAGGUGUGUCGGUCGGUUAGGUGUGGGGUGGGGUGGAAAAGCUGUAAAAUAAAACGUGAGGGAGUGCAUCAGGUAGAUUAUUAAAAUAUAUUCAGUGAGUUCAGAGAAGAAUGUUCCGGGUGCAUUGCGCUCUCCAAUUUCUAAAUUUGUCGCAUGAAAAAUUGAAAUUUUAAUGUCACAAGAAAGUGGGGAAAAAGAGGAGCUGCUUUUCGUCUUGUCUAAUUGGAAACUUCUCUCAAAUCUUCAUUAAUAAUCCAGAAGGGAGACAACUGGGCAUCAAAUCAAUUAAUUUGAAUAGUUGUGCCAACAUUUAGAGCAAUUUUUCAGUGACAGGAACCGCGCGUGUCCCUCUUCAGCGAGGAGAACCCUUGACAUUUAGAAGCCGCGUCAUUGAUUUGGGGGCGCGCACACUUUUGACAAGAUUUAUGGCUGGAGGGGGCGGUGCGGAUGUCUAUGAGUCUAUGGGGGCACGCUUCACCGCCUGCAUCCCAUAAUUAAGUGUCAGCCAUGGACUUGUGACUUUACUAAUUCCAAUCAGCAACCAACCAAAAAAUCCGCAUUGAUUCCUACUCAGACAAAACCAUAAUGUUCAGAUCAUGAUACACAUGGGCCUAGUCUGUCGCUUUCCCUAGCUCUAGUUCUCUGUUCUAUGAUUUAUGACUAUUGGGGGGGGGAAGGGACGGAACAGCAUGUCUGAUCUUUUGCUAGGACCACGAAAUGGUUUCAAGCAUGAAUUAGUAGGGUAUUCUCGUGUCCAAGGCGCGCAUAUGUAAACUUUUAAAUUUUACUUAAAAUCUCCUUAAACUUCCUAACAAAAAAUGCAAUAAAUUCUCACGUUCCAUCAUCCAUCUGUGCAAUGAAUAAUUUUUUAAUUAAUCAUGUAAAAAACUUGAAUUUUUCGACCAUAAAACUUCUACAAGUUUUCCCCGUGCAUUGGCUGCUGCGCUUUUACCUCAGGACUACAAAACUACAAAAAGGGGGAAAAAAAUCUCCCAAAAAUUCAAUUCAGCAAGAUUAAUGAUGUUUUAUGAGACACUAACAAUAGCAAACCGAAAAUCAACAUCAAAAGAUUCAGACACAUCACUCAGGCCGAGACAGUCGUCAGUCAGGGAGUCCGUCAGUCAAGACAAGUCGGUCUGCAGCAUCCGUUGGAAUUUACCUUGGUCAUCGCCACAGACAAUGGACAAUGGGUGGCGUUAAUAAUUCAUGUUUCAAUUAAUUGCCAUUUUGUAGCCCUUUCCACAGCCACAGCAGCAUCAUGCUUCAGCCCCAGCCCCAGCCCUUCAUACUCAGUCACAGUCUCAUUUCACAGUCAAAAAAAAAAAAAACAAAACAAAAAGGUGUUCAGUCAACACCUUGACCAACCCAGUCAAAGGGCGGCGACGCUCUGUCUGCCAGUGAUGCUGAGGAUGACCAGAGAGGUUGUAUCUUGUAUCUUGUAUCUGUUCUUCGCGGGUCUCUCUCAUUUUCUGUGUUGUGUGAAGUGCCAAGACGAAUUUCAAGUUUUUGUUUAGGAUGAUUAAUCCAAUCCUUUCGUUUCUUGUUUGGUUGCUUUUUAUGCGCAAUUUGCUUUGAUUAAUUUUUGUGAGACAUGAUCUCCACUAUUCAUGAGCUUCUUCAGCUUUACAAAUGAAGGGUUCUCGACCGACUCUCCUUUCUAGUGGAUCAAAGGGUUAAGCUAAGCGGAAGAUAUGUGUGUGGAUAAUGUGGUUAUUCUUCUCAUUGAUUAUGGUCAUACAUACCAUACAUAGAUAAGAGUGUGGUAUAGCUAACAUUAUUUCUGGUAAAUAAAUCUUAUCACUAGAGCACUGGUAGUAUGUUUUGUUGAAUCAUCAAAGUGGUCUGUAAGGGCUAAAAGGCUUUUUAAGUGAAAAUAUAUUUUUUAAAAGAAUUACUAAAUAUUUAAACCGGAUUUUAAAUACAAUUAUUUGAAUGUUAAAUAUAAAGAAUUUUGAUUAAAAUAUUAUAAAAUAAAUAUUAUUAAAUAUCAAGGAAAUAUCUUUUUUCUUAUUGUGAAAAUAUUUAAAUGGUAUACUUAAUAAAUUUCUUGAACUGGAAUAUAAUUUCUAUACAUAUUUUAUGGAUGAAAAUAAAUGAAUGAAUAAUAAAUAAAUAAUAUUAAAUACAUAAAUAUAUUUAUUUUAUGUAUUUACUAAGUUUUAAAAAUAAUCAAAAAUCAAAUAAAAUACUUGACUUUGUCUAUGUUUCAUUGAAAUAUUGAAAUAAUUUCCCCAUAAAUGUUGUCAAUUAGCAACUGAAAAAGCCACUUUAAUUUAUUAAUGCUGAAAAGCCCAAUGCCUUUGACAUUGGCGUUUGGCAUUGACAUUCCUCCAAGCUCUGACGAUUUUUUAAUUUCUGCAAGUGUCCAAAAAUAAUUCCCAUACAGUUUUUGGCGCCCAUAAAUUCCCAUUGAAAGGCUUAAAGUGCGCUCGGGCUACAAGACAAUCUCAUAAAAGACAUUACAGUCAACGGGCAAAAUAAAAAGCCAAUCAAACGGAGACAACAACAGAUCCACUUGAACUUGAGCUUCGGCGACAGAUGACAGAUGACAGACGACCCAGACCCCCGAGAGAGAGGGAGAGAUUCUUUGCCAAAUCGUGCGUAUAACUGCGUCAGCGACAGCGACAAACAGAACAAUUUACACAUUGACAAGGCUGUCAAUGCUUAUUCGGGGCAAUUCAUUUCAAGGGGUUACCGGAUUUCUUUGUGUUUGCGCAGAUAGCCACAAAAAUGCUUUGACAUAAUGCAAUUUUCAGACGAGUCGACGACGGCGACAAGGAGACCAGCGGCAGCAGCAUAUGAAGAGAGAUGCUACGCUGUUCCGAUUGCAUCUGUCAGAUGUCAGUGUGAUGCCUGAGCAUAUUCCCGACUCGUGUCAGAGGAUUGUGUAAGGUAAUAUCCACUCGAGAAGUCGUCGUCGGAGCUCCUGUCAGCACCUGAUUGUGUCUGAGCGCAUUCGUUCGGUGCAAGAGUCAGAUGUAAUUUCUAGUCAAAGUCGCACCCGGGCACCAGCUCUUUCCAUUCGAGGAAAAGUCAAACAAAUGCAGUUUAACACUUGCCGUCUCCAGGCGCCUGCCUCAAACUGCUCCUCCCAGUUCCCAGUUCCCAGCCACAGCCUUGAAUGUGGCGUGUAACUGAAACAAGCAACAUCCAGUGCAUUGUAAUGCCCCACCAACACCCUAUCCACAUCCACAGCAUACGCACAUCAAAGUAAAACUUUUUCCAUAUAAAAACGCACCAGGGGGUCCCGUCCGAUUCGGUUCUAUGCUCUGCUAUGCCAUGCCAGCUCCACUCUUUUGCCUAUGCCCUAAAAACAGAGCAGAGUUCAAUGGAAUUUUGUGUACUUUUUGGCACUGAUACAAUUUUAGUUUGAAUAUUUAAUAACAAAAAUAACCAACCAAUUUAAUUAAAAAAUUCUGUUAAUAUAUCAGCACUAUGCAAUUUUGCACUCUAAACAAAUAAAUACAUAAAUAAACAAACAAAUAAACAAAUAAAUAAAAAGAUUAAUUUGUUCCUGUAAUGUAUUCGUUAAUUAUAAAAUGUAUUAUAUAUUAUUAUCAUAAACUAUGUAGACCAAUUAAAUAAUUAAUAUAUAUGACUACAUUUUUACCUCUCCCAUUUACCACUUUCAUUAUUUUCCAUUCUAUAACCUCUCAAGUAUCAACUGUUUAGGUCUCUACUCUGUAAAAGUGCCACUGAACAGAAUCUUUUACUAAUCUCUCCCACAAUCAACAGUUCGGAAAGGGCAUCCGAGAUUCCAAUACCUUCGCCUUGCCAUUAUCCCUCUUGUCUGGCUGCCCUUCCUGUUUGCAUCGUGUCAUUUCUUCGUGUGUCGCUUUCUUUCAAUUGAAUUCUUUCUUAUUUUUCCUAUUUCCUACUCCUCGACACGCACUCACUCACUCUCUGUCGAUCUCCCUGGCCCUUGCUGGUUCGUUCUAUUCGUAUUGUGCUCUUAUUUUUCGGUUAGUGCUUCAAACACCUAUGCCGACAUCGUCUGUGCGUCUUUCGCCUUUAAUUAGCGGCCCGAUUUAUUUAUUUACUCUUGUUCUGUGGGUUUAGGGCCCAAAAGUGACUUGCUCGUUAUUGGGCUGCUCAAGAGAUUCCAUCACUGGCGGAUGCGAUUGAUGCUCGGUGCUAUAUUGAAUUACAUUUGAUUCCGAGGAGCUGAAAGAAUGUUCCCCGGGCCUGGUCGAUGUUUGUUCAAUAAACAUUCUUUGUUUUUGUCGGAGAUUAUAAAUUAGUUUCGGUCAGGGAAAUGAAUGCAAAGUUUCGUUCUCUCCAUGAUUUGAUUAAAAUGUUUUUUCCAAGGGCUGAAGCAGAAGGCAAUAAAUGUCUAAUAAAAAUAUAAUUAUUGCUUGCCCACCUUUUCGCCUUUUGUCCGUGUUCCCACAGCAGUUUGUCUUGGGGUUUUAUGUGUGCCUUCCUCCCCCAGCUGUUCUCUAUGUGGACGAGUCCUCGGUGGUUAGGCCACUCCUGCACAUAAAUUAAAGCGAGUGUAUUUUAUAUCCACUUCCCUUGCUCACACUCUCCAUUGUUUCACCAUUCUGUGUAGUAAUUUUAUGUGAAAAUUUGUUUAUUAAGUAGUCUUUGAUAGUUUCGUGGGCAGUUCCUUCGCUCUUCCCCGGAACAGUUUAAUUUAUUGCCCAAUUUUUUGUAUCGGGUGGGAGUUGCAAUUAAAUGGGUGCGGUUUGCCCAUUAAAAGGCAUAUAAAUUUAUCUAGCAUUAGUCUUGAUUUGUUUUCACUUGUUAUUCCCUUUUCUUUUAUUUUUUCAAGUGUGAUGUGUUUUAGAAUUUGUUUUGGGAUUAUUUUUCUAACGAUUUAUUUGUAGGUUUUGUUGCUGUCAGCACUUCAGUCACACAAAUUUAUGGAAAAAACACAUCCCCCUCUCGGGCAUCCGCUAAUUAAUUAUUAACAUAUUUCAUUUACAAAUCUAGAUGGAAAUUUCGAAUAAUUCAUUACAGCUUCACACCUCUCGUCGCCGCGUCCCCAUUUCUCUGAAUUUGUUUUAACAUUUGUUGAAUUUUAUUUGGUUUUCCCCCCGAAGAGAUUCCACGCUUUUUUCUGUUUCUAUAUUUAACGACAAAUGGAGCAAUAAAAAGGCGUCACCUUGGCAGCAUGUGGCAGACAACAAAAAAAGGGGAGAAACAAAUGCUAUAUAGUGGAGAGAUGCUGGUGGAGUGCACCGAUCGAGGUGAUCUCUAAAUUACACUUUUGUUUAGAUUUAUAUUUGCGGGGGGCAACAAUGUUAGGAAAAUGCUCCCCAGCAGCGUUUCCAUUUUUAACUACAAAUGUACAUAAGUGGCAGCUGCACAGUCUAAGAGGAAUAACCUUGUGAGCCAAGUUGCUUUAGGGCUGAUCCAACAGUUUGCUAAAGAGCUUAGCUAGUAACAUACCAAUAUGUUCCAUAGAUCCAAUAAAUAUCUGUAUUGUUGUUUAGAAAUUAAAAUAUUAUAUUAAACAUUUGAUUUGUAAAUAUAUUUUAUCUAUCUAUUUUCAGUGAUUUUUAAUUAAAUCCUACACUCCACAGUCUGGUAUAAGUUAUCCCGUCAUCAAAACAAUAUCAGCGUCGAAUAAUUACUAACAAAAAAAAAACGGC